rnacentral:rRNA from 1 species
AACGAACGCUGGCGGCAGGCUUAACACAUGCAAGUCGAGCGCCCCGCAAGGGGAGCGACAGACGGGUGAGUAACGCGUGGGAAUCUACCCAUCUCUACGGAAUAACGCAUAGAAACGCGUGCUAAUACCGUAUACGUCCUUCGGGAGAAAGAUUUAUCGGAGAUGGAUGAGCCCGCGUUGGAUUAGCUAGUUGGUGGGGUAAAGGCAUACCAAGGCGACGAUCCAUAGCUGGUCUUGGAGGGUGAUCAGCCACACUGGGACCGAGACACGGCCCAGACUCCUACGGGAGGAAGCAGUGGGGAAUAUUGGACCAUGGGCGCAAGGCUGAUCCAGCCAUGCCGCGUGAGUGAUGAAGGCCCUAGGGUUGUAAAGCUCUUUCACCGGUGAAGAUAAUGACGGUAACCGGAGAAGAAGCCCCGGCUAACUUCGUGCCAGCCGCCGCCGUAAGAC